CUUUGGACUUGAGGGCUUUUUGCAGGCUUUUGAUCAGAAAGCCUGCUCCCUUGAAAAUCAUCAGUGGUAUCUGGAGCGGAAACCGCCAGGUGUGAUAACAUCAUCUAUGCCUUUGGUAUGCCGCGCAUUGUGCUGCUUCCAAUGUGCCCAUUCUUGACAAACUUGACCUCAAAUCAGGUAGGACUACCCGCUGAACUUAA
rnacentral:misc_RNA from 1 species